CAAUAGCGUAUACUAAUGUUGUUGCAGUUAAAAAGCUCGUAGUUGAACUUCUGGUAGGAGUGUCACGGCCUUUUUGUUUUUACAAAUUGUAUGCUGUGUGACAUCUCUGGCCAUCCUUCUUCUUUGUUUAAAGAAGAUCUUUCACUGUAAAAAAAUUAGGGUGUUCAAAGCAAAAGUUUCUUUGGAAUAUAUUAGUAUGGGAUGAUAAGAUAGGCUCUAGAUGCUAUUUUGUUGGUUUGCACAUUUAGAGAAUGAUUAACAGGGACAGUUGGGGGUAUUCGUAUUUACAUGUCAGAGGUGAAAUUCUUGGAUUUUGGAAAGACGAACUACUGCGAAAGCAUUUACCAAGGAUGUUUUCAUUAA
rnacentral:rRNA from 1 species